rnacentral:rRNA from 1 species
UACGGGAGGCAGCAGUGAGGAAUAUUGGUCAAUGGGCGAGAGCCUGAACCAGCCAAGUAGCGUGCAGGAAGACGGCCCUAUGGGUUGUAAACUGCUUUUAUCAGGGGAUAAAGUUUCCCACGUGUGGGAUUUUGUAGGUACCUGAUGAAUAAGGACCGGCUAAUUCCGUGCCAGCAGCCGCGGUAAU